UACGUAGGGGGGCGAGCGUUGUCCGGAUUUAUUGGGCGUAAAGAGCUCGUAGGCGGUUUUGGCAAGUCGGGUGUGAAAAACUCCGGGCUCAACUCGGAGACGCCACUCGAUACUGCUAUGACUCGAGUCCGGUAGGGGAGUGCGGAAUUCCUGGUGUAGCGGUGAAAAUGCGCAGAUAUCAGGAGGAACACCGGUGGCGAAAGGCGGCACUCUGGGGCCCGGUACUGACGCUGAGGGAGCGAAAAAGCGUGGGGGGAGCGAAACAGG
rnacentral:rRNA from 1 species